AGUGAUAGCCAAAAUACCCUAAUGAUACCAAAUCUAAACUGAUCUUGGAAGACAAGCAGGGUCACCUCUGGUCAGUACUUGAAUGGAAGACAGGCAACACAUACCAGAUGCUGUGGGUU
rnacentral:rRNA from 11 species